AGGGCGGUAUAGAAAUCAAAUAAAUAAAUAAAAUAUAAAGCAAGUAAGUCGAUGGGAUUUUCCCAACCACCCCUGUGCCCAUAAGCCUAUUUCUGGUUCUGUGCCUUUAAAUGAGGAAAAUCUAGGAAUGUGAUGUAUGUGUUGCCAGGCACCGAAAGGAGGGGUGUGAUGACAAGUUGCUAGGCAGCAGAAGGUGGAGUGUUUCCUCUGAGAAACAGCCAGCAAGAGAUGUGGGCUGCCUAGAGCUCACACACUUUGGAGCUGCUCUGAGUCUUGCUCUCUGUGGUUGUGGGAGGAGCUUCAGCAUGAACCCCAGGUUACAGUGGGCGCCAAAUUUGAAUGACAUGAUGGGGAAAGCAGAUCUGCAGUUUCAGCAACCUAACCAACUUGAAACUGAGGGUUCAAGUUGAGGUUUUGAGCAGGUCUAUUUCUAGCCACUGUCGAUGGUUGCUCUGGUUUGCUGCCCAGGAUGGUCCUUGAACUGAAAGACAUGCCUUACUUGGAGACCACUGAACCACCUUCCCAAUUUCAUUGGAUUCAUCCCAGAAUGAUGAUGCAGUGAUCUGGCCAUUAGAAGUGUUGCCUCUAUCCAGGUUCAGCGAUUUGUUGCAACCUUAAAAUUCAAUAAAAAGAAGGAAGAUCUC